AAAUUUGUGGACACUCUUGAAGAUUCAUCAGCAUGAACCAACACUACAAAGUGUUGUAGUGUUAGUGCAUGUAGAGUGUCUAUAGAGGUACAAAUUUUUUUAUUUUAAUCUAAAAAUAUAGAUAUAGAAUUAUGCAUUGUGAGUUUUAUUUAGUGAAUGGGUAAAGAUUAUUUUUGUCAAACAAUAAAAAAGUUAUAUUUUUGUUCAUGAACAACUCUUUAAUUAGAGCUGAUUAAAAUUGCGGCUAAUAAAUAUCCUAUCAGCUGUUUAUCAACAAUUAGUUAUGUUUUUUUUAGUUUUACCGAACACCUUGGUUCAGCUGUUUGGAUGCCUAUUAGCUAUUAGCUGCAUUCAACAACUGAACCAAAAGUGUUAGAUUUAUACUGUUGGCUAAAAAUUGGUUUGGGGAUCUCAAAUCGUAAUUUUGAAAUUUGGAAGAAUGUUCUUAAGCUUGGGUAGUAGUUUUGCAUAGUAAACCUGAAUUGAGUAAUAAUUUUAAACGGUAAAAUACUUAAAUAUACAAAGAAGAUAUAAUUGUGAAUAUCUGUUCUGGUCCUUAUGGAGCUUGAGACAAUGAUGCUGUGAAUGUCAAUGUAAUAAAUUGGCUUUUUUGGAUUCCUCUUUGUUAAUAUGUGAGUUUGUCAUCUCUGAUCGCAGUUUGCUUUAGUGUUUUGAUUUUAGUAACUUUGUCCAUAUAAAUUCAAGAAGGCCAUCUU
rnacentral:misc_RNA from 1 species